rnacentral:rRNA from 1 species
UAAUACGUAGGGGGCGAGCGUUGUCCGGAUUUACUGGGCGUAAAGCGCGUGUAGGCGGCGAUUUAAGUCGGGUGUGAAAGCCCGGGGCUCAACCCCGGGAUGCCGCCCGAGACUGGGUCGCUUGAGGUCGGAAGAGGGGAGUGGAAUUCCAGGUGUAGCGGUGAAAUGCGUAGAGAUCUGGAGGAACACCCGUGGCGAAGGCGGCUCCCUGGUCCGAUUCUGACGCUGAGACGCGAAAGCGCGGGGAGCGAACGGGAUUAGAUACCCCGGUAGUCCGCGCCGUAAACGAUGGUCACUAGGUGUGCGUGGUAUCGACCCCACGCGUGCCGGCGCUAACGCAUUAAGUGACCCGCCUGGGGAGUACGGCCGCAAGGUUG